CUGAGCGCGCGCCCGCAGGCGCCGGGAUGUCCGACACCUCGCAGGCGCGCCGCCCGCUGGCCACCCUCAGGGACGCUUCCGCGGGCACACGCACCCGCACGUUACCGUCGGAACAGCGGGGACCGUGCCGGCCGCCGUCCAGCACCGGCCGUUCCCCUUCCGCGGCGCGCGAGCUCCCGCCUCACCCAGCGGCCACACGAGGGUGCCCUUCCGAGCUCCCGCCACCCCUGCUCCCCGAGUUCGGAAAGGCAGCUCACCUCCAAACCCCCUGAAGAUGUCCACGGAGAGGGCCGUAAAUCGGAGAUGAACGGCUGAAAUGUCUACCUGGGAGGCUGCCAUUCACCCCGAAACCCUGCCAGCAACUCAGGAAGUGUCUGUGGGGAGGCUUAUGAGACAGGGACCCCGUCAGGACGAAGCGCACUCCGGGCCCCUAACCUGUUACUGAAAGCUUGCUUUGUGUUUUCUGAGCAGAGCCUCCAAAAACCCAGGACUGUCUCCAGCAGAAACAGUCACCUAAGACGUCUGAGCCACCCUGCAAAAUCAGAACAGAAGUAAUGAUCGACCAGGCCCUCGCCUAUCCCAACAACUUAAAAGCUGUCCAUUUGUUGGCAGACUAAUCUCAUCUCCGUCAGAGCUGUGUCCCCUUCAGUUCCUCAGGCUGAAGCCCCUUCCCUAUUUUCCCUUUGUAAUUCUGCUUAGUAAAUCAGCCUGUGCCUCUGA